UAACACUACAUCUGCUACCGCAUUCUUUCUGUCUGGUGGAUCAGGCCGCUCAAAAAGCUGAUUUUAGAAACAGGCGGAAGACCUGCAGCGGCAGAAGUUGUACGGUCGUGCUGUAGUAGGGAGCAGGGAAGUGUCUUAGAAGAAACUUCCUGUUGGAAUGCCUCACACCUGCAGCUGCAGCUCUGCAGGUUUCCAUGCUGCUGUUUGCUCUUCCUGCACAAUAUUUCAUAUCCUAGUGGUAUGGAACAGACUCUGUUGAAUGCAUCCAAAUAACAGAGAGGAUAACUGCCUCUUGGAGCUGCUCUACAAGACCUUACUUGAGUCUGGAUGCAUGGUCAAAUCAUUUAAAGCUGUGGCUAUCGAAGACAAGGAUCUAAAAAAUACUCCUCACUAUCGAAUUCUAAUUAACAAAGCAAAUGGAUUUAGCAAAACUACAGUGUAUGUUCCGAGGAAGAGAUAACAAUUAUUAUGGGAUUAAAGGUGCAUCACCCUGAUAUGGAAACCUACUUCAGAGGAUAUGAUGGAUCAAAAUAUAUUAUGCAGCCAUGGUUGAAAAAACUCUAUCCUCAUGACUGAGCACUUCAGUGUCUGUACAUGUAAUGAACGUCCAGACAACAGAUGUCCUUUUUAAACUUGAGCAAACAGACACCAGGAUAAAAUGUGUAAUUUUUCCUAUGACAAAAUAAAACAUUCCUAAGCACUUUUUAUGUUGAACACUCCAUUUUGUUAGAAGUGAACACAUUGCAUAUUCAGUUUACCAUGACUCAGGGUGGGGAUUAAUUUCUUUAGAGAUUUGGGAGGAAAGGUGUAAAUGUAGCCCAGUUUCAGCCAGGAGUACCAAAGGUUUUGUGCAUCAAAUAUCUUGCUGUUUUACAGGGGC